rnacentral:rRNA from 1 species
ACCCUGACCAGCCAUGCCGCGUGCAGGAAGACGGCCCUCUGGGUUGUAAACUGCUUUUAUUCGGGAAUAAACCUAUCUACGUGUAGAUAGCUGAAUGUACCGAAGGAAUAAGGAUCGGCUAACUCCGUGCCAGCAGCCGCGGUAAUACGGAGGAUCCAAGCGUUAUCCGGAUUUAUUGGGUUUAAAGGGUGCGUAGGCGGCCUGUUAAGUCAGGGGUGAAAGACGGUAGCUCAACUAUCGCAGUGCCCUUGAUACUGAUGGGCUUGAAUGGACUAGAGGUAGGCGGAAUGUGACAAGUAGCGGUGAAAUGCAUAGAUAUGUCACAGAACACCGAUUGCGAAGGCAGCUUACUAUGGUCCUAUUGACGCUGAGGCACGAAAGCGUGGGGAUCAAACAGGAUUAGAUACCCUGGUAGUCCACGCCCUAAACGAUGAAUACUCGCUGUUGGCGAUACACAGUCAGCGGCUAAGCGAAAGCGUUAAGUAUUCCACCUGGGGAGUACGCCCGCAAGGGUGAAACUCAAAGGAAUUGACGGGGGCCCGCACAAGCGGAGGAGCAUGUGGUUUAAUUCGAUGAUACGCGAGGAACCUUACCCGGGCUUGAAAGUUAGUGAAUUAUCCAGAGAUGGAUAAGUGA